rnacentral:lncRNA from 1 species
AGCGCGCCCCCUUUCCUCCGCCGGCGCCGGGCGUGGCCACAACAGCGAGUGGGCGUGGCCAAAAGCCGCGAGUGGGCGUGGCUCCGCGCUGUGAGGGGUCGCGCGUCCCGCGAGGGCGCGGUCCGCAGUGAGGGCGGGAAGGCGGGAGCGGCGCUCAGGCGGCGUCCCUCAGCGCGGGGCUGAGGCGUUACGGCCGCACCUCGGGGCCCGGCCCGGCCCCGCUGCGGCGAACAGGCUGAUAUUUCGGCCUUACUGAAGAGAAGGAUCUUUUCAGCCGCAGUACAAAGCGUUCCCUUCAGUUAAGUUAAUUGCAGUCCCUACGUUCGCUGGGCCGGACCAUGCCCCAUCCCACCUCCCUUCCCUCAGCGCUGUGCAUGUCAUCCAGCUAACGGCCCAAUGGAUGGAGGAAUGGGGCAAAAAUAAAGGAUGGUGGAAAAGCCUCACUUAGGAAGGGGCCAGAAGAAGUAGAGGCCGCACUGCUCGGGUUUGGCUGUGCGUUGUUACAGCAGAUGGACAGAGCCACAUUUUGGGAAGCAGGCACGGCCCAGAGCGAAUACGAAUCACAAUUCAUCACCACAGAGCCACGAAGAUUGGAAAAGCACUCCCAGAUCCCCUCCAUGCCCACUGAGCGCGUCCCUCAGUGCCACAUCCCUACAGCUCUGAGUGCGGGGACUCCACGCAGCCCUGAGGGCCGAGCGAUCUGCGCUUCGGCAGAACAGCAGCACGGAACCUUCCAGAAACAGAAACCUGCAGCCUCCCACCUCCUUCGCUGCCCCCUGCAGAAGUGCUGUCUCUAAUUGCUGACCCGCUGUUGCCCUCUGGUCUUUUUCAACCACGUACACUAGGGGGGAAUAAGACGUCGUCAGAAUAAUUCCCGUGUUUUCCUUCAGCGACUUAUUAGCAUAGCAAAUCACUGCCUCUGCGUUACAGCGCCGCGAACAUAAUAGUUCCACCUACGGGAAAAUAUUCUCAGCACUGAUGUCAGCUGCUUUAUAUAUGUCGCCGUAUCGUUACAAAGGAAACUGAUCUGAGGCCGCAGGUUUGUGGACGACAGGGAGAUGUGAUGCUCCCAUACAAAGCUGAGGAGACAAAGUGAACAAGGCAAUGGCUGAAGAGCAGCUCUGAACAGGAACACAGGAGCUCAACCUAAAUGUCUGAACACUUAGCCAUGUGAGCCCAAUACUGACUGGUGCUGGGCACCCCAAGGCAUUUAAAAGUAGACACAUGGGGUCCACUUUCUGCACUGUCCUCUUCAACAGGGGCCAAAAGUGGAUGCUUCAGCAUGGGCACAUGGAGUGGUUCCCCCAGGUCUUAGGGCAGUCUGCAACGUUUCUGGCUGUAGGACCUCUUGAAGCAGAUGUGAUUCCAAUCUAUUUAUGCUGCGUGCGCAGGCUCUGUACAGUGCAUUAAACUCAGCUGGGUGCCCUCCAAGUAGGAACCCACUGCUCCAAGUCAGUGCUUAGGUUUGAAAUCCCUGCGGACUGAACAGAAAGCAUCUUUGCUUGCCACCCCAACAGCCUCUUCUGCAUUCUGCAAGGAGCCAGACCCAUUGGAACACACAAGGUUUGUUCUGAAAACGCCUUUGGGACACACAGGCACGCUUGGUUCCUGCAUCCCAGCUGUUCAGGCUUUAUGUACAGCACCAACCCGCCCUGACCUGCAGGGCUGCAGAAGCACAACAGCAGGGAAUAAAUACGUGCUUUGUGAUCCUUCUUCUGCCAUCAGCAUUGCAUUUGGACACCAGCAUUACCCUCCAUCUGAGCAACAGCUGACACAGGGACUUGCAAACACAACUUCAGAGGAGGAAGGAGAACCAGGGUGAGUAAAAGCAGCUUCAUUUCCUGCACACACCUGCUCAGGGGCGCAAUGGGCAGACAACGC